rfam:Mitsuokella multacida DSM 20544 genomic scaffold Scfld1, whole genome shotgun sequence.
CUCACAUCCAGAGCGGCGGAGGGACUGGCCCGAUGAAACCGCGGCAACCAUUGACUUCGUCAAAACGGUGCCAAUUCCUUUAGGUCCGGCCUAUAAGAUGAGAG